rnacentral:misc_RNA from 1 species
GGUUAACCUAAUUGUGUCCCCUUCGCCUUACAGAGCUCGAAAUCGGUAGCCAUAGUCAAUCAGGAUGAGGAAGCUUAAAGCUCAUGAAAAGAAGCUUCUGAAGAAGGUGAACUUCCUUGAAUGGAAGAGAGAAGGAGGUCACAGAGAAGGUGAUGUCAUGCGUCGUUACCACGUCACUGGCAGAGACGACUACAAAAAGUACUCAGGUUUGUGCAGAACAGUGCAGAAGCUUGUGAAUAUACUGAAGCAGAUGGACCCAAGAGAUCCAUAUAGAAUAGAAAUGACCGAUUCUCUUCUAGAGAAGCUGUACAACAUGGGCGUAAUAACUACAAGGAAAAGCUUAUCCGUGUGUGAGAACUUAUCUGUGUCAUCCUUCUGCAGGCGUAGGUUGUCCACUAUCUUGGUGAGGCUGAAGUUUGCUGAACACAUGAAGGAAGCAGUGACAUACAUAGAACAAGGUCAUAUUCGAGUUGGACCCGAUACAGUUGUUGACCCAGCAUUUCUCGUGACGAGAAAUAUGGAGGAUUUCAUCACUUGGGUAGAUACAUCUAAGAUUAGGAGAAAGGUCUUGGAGUACAACGAUCAGCUAGACGAUUAUGAUGCAAUGAAUUGAUGACUGGUGACAGAUUUAUGAAGCAUUUGAGAAUUGAUUGAAUGAGAGAAAUGGAACACAUUCUUCUUGGCCAUUGUUGGAGUUCCCUGGCAGGUUUACCUCCUGCUAGUUUGCCUUGUACUACCUCCCCUCUACAUUUUUGCUCCUGUAGACUGUUGAAGAUGUACACAUUAUAUUCAACAGUAAAGUUUAAUAGAAUAUCU